CAAGUCGAGCGAACUUGCGGGAGCUUGCUCCCAAAAGUUAGCGGCGGACGGGUGAGUAACACGUGGGCAACCUGCCUAUAAGACUGGGAUAACUUCGGGAAACCGGAGCUAAUACCGGAUAAUUCUUUUCUACACAUGUAGAAAAGCUAAAAGACGGUUUACGCUGUCACUUAUAGAUGGGCCCGCGGCGCAUUAGCUAGUUGGUGAGGUAACGGCUCACCAAGGCCACGAUGCGUAGCCGACCUGAGAGGGUGAUCGGCCACACUGGGACUGAGACACGGCCCAGACUCCUACGGGAGGCAGCAGUAGGGAAUCUUCCGCAAUGGACGAAAGUCUGACGGAGCAACGCCGCGUGAGUGAUGAAGGUUUUCGGAUCGUAAAACUCUGUUGUUAGGGAAGAACAAGUACGAGAGUAACUGCUCGUACCUUGACGGUACCUAACCAGAAAGCCACGGCUAACUACGUGCCAGCAGCCGCGGUAAUACGUAGGUGGCAAGCGUUGUCCGGAAUUAUUGGGCGUAAAGCGCGCGCAGGCGGUCCUUUAAGUCUGAUGUGAAAGCCCACGGCUCAACCGUGGAGGGUCAUUGGAAACUGGGGGACUUGAGUGCAGGAGAGAAGAGUGGAAUUCCACGUGUAGCGGUGAAAUGCGUAGAGAUGUGGAGGAACACCAGUGGCGAAGGCGACUCUUUGGCCUGUAACUGACGCUGAGGCGCGAAAGCGUGGGGGGAGCCAAACAGGAUUAGAUACCCUGGUAGUCCACGCCGUAAACGAUGA
rnacentral:rRNA from 1 species